GAUGAACGCUGGCGGCGUGCCUAAUACAUGCAAGUCGAGCGAACGGACGAGAAGCUUGCUUCUCUGAUGUUAGCGGCGGACGGGUGAGUAACACGUGGAUAACCUACCUAUAAGACUGGGAUAACUUCGGGAAACCGGAGCUAAUACCGGAUAAUAUUUUGAACCGCAUGGUUCAAAAGUGAAAGACGGUUUUGCUGUCACUUAUAGAUGGAUCCGCGCCGCAUUAGCUAGUUGGUAAGGUAACGGCUUACCAAGGCAACGAUGCAUAGCCGACCUGAGAGGGUGAUCGGCCACACUGGAACUGAGACACGGUCCAGACUCCUACGGGAGGCAGCAGUAGGGAAUCUUCCGCAAUGGGCGAAAGCCUGACGGAGCAACGCCGCGUGAGUGAUGAAGGUCUUCGGAUCGUAAAACUCUGUUAUUAGGGAAGAACAUAUGUGUAAGUAACUAUGCACAUCUUGACGGUACCUAAUCAGAAAGCCACGGCUAACUACGUG
rnacentral:rRNA from 1 species